AUCCUUCGAUUGGGUGUUCAUGCCCCAUGCAGGAGAUGUGCCUCUCUCAAAUCUUGUUAUGACAUUGGCACAUUACCUUUCUGAUU
rnacentral:ncRNA from 1 species